CCAUGCAUGUCUAAGUAUAAGCUUUUUAUACGGCGAAACUGCGAAUGGCUCAUUAAAACAGUUAUAGUUUAUUUGAUAGUCAUCUGAGAUGAAAGUCUACUACAUGGAUAACCGUGGUAAUUCUAUGGCUAAUACAUGCGCAAAUAUCCUUUUUCGCAAGGAAGAGGAUAGUGUUUAUUAGAUACAGAACCAAUACACCAGUGUCACAGCUGGUGUGAAAAAGGUGAUUCAUAGUAACCGAACGGAUCGCAUUAUGGUCAUUCUUUUGUAAUGGCUGGCGAUAGAUCAUUCAAGUUUCUGACCUAUCAGCUUUCGACGGUAGUGUAUUGGACUACCGUGGCAGUGACGGGUAAC
rnacentral:rRNA from 1 species